rnacentral:rRNA from 1 species
GAUGAACGCUGGCGGCGUGCCUAAUACAUGCAAGUCGAACGAAACUUCUUUAUCACCGAGUGCUUGCACUCACCGAUAAAGAGUUGAGUGGCGAACGGGUGAGUAACACGUGGGCAACCUGCCCAAAAGAGGGGGAUAACACUUGGAAACAGGUGCUAAUACCGCAUAACCAUAGUUACCGCAUGGUAACUAUGUAAAAGGUGGCUAUACUACCGCUUUUGGAUGGGCCCGCGGCGCAUUAGCUAGUUGGUGGGGUAAAGGCUUACCAAGGCAAUGAUGCGUAGCCGAAUUGAGAGGUUGAUCGGCCACAUUGGGACUGAGACACGGCCCAAACUCCUACGGGAGGCAGCAGUAGGGAAUCUUCGACAAUGGGCGAAAGCCUGAUGGAGCAACGCCGCGUGGGUGAAGAAGGUCUUCGGAUCGUAAAGCCCUGUUGUUAGGGAAGAAAGUGCGUGAGAGUAACUGUUCACGUUUCGACGGUAUCUAACGAGAAAGCAACGGCUAACUACGUG